GACAGAGGGUGCAAACGUUGUUCGGAAUUACUGGGCGUAAAGCGCGUGUAGGCGGUCUCGCAAGUCGGAUGUGAAAGCCCAGGGCUCAACCCUGGAAGUGCACUCGAUACUGCGAGGCUAGAGUCCCGGAGAGGAUGGUGGAACUCUCGGUGUAGAGGUGAAAUUCGUAGAUAUCGAGAAGAACACCGGUGGCGAAGGCGGCUCACUGGCCCGUUACUGACGCUCAGGCGCGACAGCGUGGGGAUCAAACAGG
rnacentral:rRNA from 1 species